AGAGUUUGAUCCUGGCUCAGGAUGAACGCUGGCGGCGUGCCUAAUACAUGCAAGUCGAGCGAACGGACGAGAAGCUUGCUUCUCUGAUGUUAGCGGCGGACGGGUGAGUAACACGUGGAUAACCUACCUAUAAGACUGGGAUAACUUCGGGAAACCGGAGCUAAUACCGGAUAAUAUUUUGAACCGCAUGGUUCAAAAGUGAAAGACGGUCUUGCUGUCACUUAUAGAUGGAUCCGCGCUGCAUUAGCUAGUUGGUAAGGUAACGGCUUACCAAGGCAACGAUGCAUAGCCGACCUGAGAGGGUGAUCGGCCACACUGGAACUGAGACACGGUCCAGACUCCUACGGGAGGCAGCAGUAGGGAAUCUUCCGCAAUGGGCGAAAGCCUGACGGAGCAACGCCGCGUGAGUGAUGAAGGUCUUCGGAUCGUAAAACUCUGUUAUUAGGGAAGAACAUAUGUGUAAGUAACUGUGCACAUCUUGACGGUACCUAAUCAGAAAGCCACGGCUAACUACGUGCCAGCAGCCGCGGUAAUACGUAGGUGGCAAGCGUUAUCCGGAAUUAUUGGGCGUAAAGCGCGCGUAGGCGGUUUUUUAAGUCUGAUGUGAAAGCCCACGGCUCAACCGUGGAGGGUCAUUGGAAACUGGAAAACUUGAGUGCAGAAGAGGAAAGUGGAAUUCCAUGUGUAGCGGUGAAAUGCGCAGAGAUAUGGAGGAACACCAGUGGCGAAGGCGACUUUCUGGUCUGUAACUGACGCUGAUGUGCGAAAGCGUGGGGAUCAAACAGGAUUAGAUACCCUGGUAGUCCACGCCGUAAACGAUGAGUGCUAAGUGUUAGGGGGUUUCCGCCCCUUAGUGCUGCAGCUAACGCAUUAAGCACUCCGCCUGGGGAGUACGACCGCAAGGUUGAAACUCAAAGGAAUUGACGGGGACCCGCACAAGCGGUGGAGCAUGUGGUUUAAUUCGAAGCAACGCGAAGAACCUUACCAAAUCUUGACAUCCUUUGACAACUCUAGAGAUAGAGCUUUCCCCUUCGGGGGACAAAGUGACAGGUGGUGCAUGGUU
rnacentral:rRNA from 1 species